UGGGGAAUAUUGCACAAUGGGCGCAAGCCUGAUGCAGCGACGCCGCGUGCGGGAUGGAGGCCUUCGGGUUGUAAACCGCUUUUGAUCGGGAGCAAGCCCUUCGGGGUGAGUGUACCUUUCGAAUAAGCACCGGCUAACUACGUGCCAGCAGCCGCGGUAAUACGUAGGGUGCAAGCGUUAUCCGGAAUUAUUGGGCGUAAAGGGCUCGUAGGCGGUUCGUCGCGUCCGGUGUGAAAGCCCAUCGCUUAACGGUGGGUCUGCGCCGGGUACGGGCGGGCUGGAGUGCGGUAGGGGAGACUGGAAUUCCCGGUGUAAAGGUGGAAUGUGUAGAUAUCGGGAAGAACACCAAGGGCGAAGGCAGGUCUCUGGGCCGUCACUGACGCUGAGGAGAGAAAGCGUGGGGAGAGAACA
rnacentral:rRNA from 1 species